CUGCUGAGGAGGUGGGAAGGGAAGUGAACUCUGUCUAUGCUUGAUCUGAACUUUCUGCUGAGGAGGUGAGAAGAAGAUGAAGUUUGUGGUGGGUCAUUAGGAACGACCAUGAAGACUCUUUUUGGCAAGCUGGAUCGACGGCCUUCGAGGGUGUGCGCCCGCCAGUGAGUCAGUGACUGCUCAAGACUCCUCAGUAACCAGCUUAUUGUCCAGUUUGCAGGUGCCUCCUAUGCUCCCCAUCUCCACUUUCUGUUGUCUGGUAGUUUUCGUUCCCUUGCCAUGGCAAUUGAUGUUACCAACCAACCAUUAUCGUUGAGGUGUUUUUACUCAAUUAAUUAGCACUGUGACAUAUAAAAAUGUAUAAAUUGGAAAAUGCCAUUCAGUAAAUUCUUGAAGUGCAUAAUGUCCACAAUUUCCUCAGCAUCAUAUGCAAGCAAUGACAUGGGAUGAGAAACUUUAGGUAUUGUUUGUUUGCAUUUCAUUUUGGCCAGGGGAUAACAUAGUGGUGUUGACAUAUGUUGUGGUUACCAAUUCUGUAAGCCGUGAUAUAUGGAAAAAAAUUGGGUGUAUUGUUCAACAGUAAUAGGUAAAACUUAAGUUUACAUAGGUUCCUUGAAUAGGACAAUUUGACAUUCACAAGAAUUGUUUCAUGAUCUGAUUAGACAUGUGGAGCCUUUUUUCUAUUUAAUUAUUUUCGAUGGUGACCGUACCCUUAUCUCUCUUUUUUCAUUUCUUUCAUAGAUCAACAACAACAGGGGACAGAUUAUACUAGCAAAGUCUUGCACAGAAAAAAGAAGACUUUUAUUAAACAGC
rnacentral:lncRNA from 1 species